GAUGAACGCUGGCGGCGUGCCUAAUACAUGCAAGUCGAGCGAACAGACGAGGAGCUUGCUCCUCUGACGUUAGCGGCGGACGGGUGAGUAACACGUGGAUAACCUACCUAUAAGACUGGGAUAACUUCGGGAAACCGGAGCUAAUACCGGAUAAUAUAUUGAACCGCAUGGUUCAAUAGUGAAAGACGGUUUUGCUGUCACUUAUAGAUGGAUCCGCGCCGCAUUAGCUAGUUGGUAAGGUAACGGCUUACCAAGGCAACGAUGCGUAGCCGACCUGAGAGGGUGAUCGGCCACACUGGACCUGAGACACGGUCCAGACUCCUACGGGAGGCAGCAGUAGGGAAUCUUCCGCAAUGGGCGAAAGCCUGACGGAGCAACGCCGCGUGAGUGAUGAAGGUCUUCGGAUCGUAAAACUCUGUUAUUAGGGAAGAACAAAUGCGUAAGUAACUAUGCACGUCUUGACGGUACCUAAUCAGAAAGCCACGGCUAACUACGU
rnacentral:rRNA from 1 species